rnacentral:rRNA from 1 species
AGUGAACGCUGGCGGUAGGCCUAACACAUGCAAGUCGAACGGCAGCACAGUAAGAGCUUGCUCUUACGGGUGGCGAGUGGCGGACGGGUGAGGAAUACAUCGGAAUCUACUUUUUCGUGGGGGAUAACGUAGGGAAACUUACGCUAAUACCGCAUACGACCUACGGGUGAAAGCAGGGGAUCUUCGGACCUUUCGCGAUUGAAUGAGCCGAUGUCGGAUUAGCUAGUUGGCGGGGUAAAGGCCCACCAAGGCGACGAUCCGUAGCUGGUCUGAGAGGAUGAUCAGCCACACUGGAACGGAGACACGGUCCAGACUCCUAAGGGAGGCAGCAGUGGGGAAUAUUGGACAAUGGGCGCAAGCCUGAUCCAGCCAUACCGCGUGGGUGAAGAAGGCCUUCGGGUUGUAAAGCCCUUCUGUUGGGAAAGAAAAGCAGCAGGUUAAUACCCCGCUGUUCUGACGGUACCCAAAGAAUAAGCACCGGCUAACUUCGUG